rnacentral:rRNA from 1 species
GCUUAACACAUGCAAGUCGAGGGGUAGAAUUUCUUCGGAAAUUUGAGACCGGCGCACGGGUGCGUAACGCGUAUGCAAUCUACCCUUUACUGGAGAAUAGCCCGGAGAAAUUCGGAUUAAUGCCCCAUAUGCUCGUAGGAUCUCCUGAUCCAGCGAGGAAAGCUCCGGCGGUAAAGGAUGAGCAUGCGUCCCAUUAGCUUGUUGGUGAGGUAACGGCUCACCAAGGCGACGAUGGGUAGGGGGCCUGAGAGGGCGAUCCCCCACACUGGUACUGAGACACGGACCAGACUCCUACGGGAGGCAGCAGUGAGGAAUAUUGGGCAAUGGAGGCAACUCUGACCCAGCCAUGCCGCGUGCAGGAAGACGGUCCUCUGGAUUGUAAACUGCUUUUAUUAGGGAAUAAACCCUCCUACGUGUAGGAGGCUGAAGGUACCUGAUGAAUAAGCAUCGGCUAACUCCGUGCCAGCAGCCGCGGUAAUACGGAGGAUGCAAGCGUUAUCCGGAUUUAUUGGGUUUAAAGGGUCCGUAGGCGGGUAUUUAAGUCAGUGGUGAAAGCCCACAGCUCAACUGUGGAACUGCCAUUGAUACUGGAUGUCUUGAGUAUAGUAGAAGUAGGCGGAAUAGGGCAUGUAGCGGUGAAAUGCAUAGAUAUGCCCUAGAACACCGAUUGCGAAGGCAGCUUACUAUGUUAUAACUGACGCUGAGGGACGAAAGCGUGGGGAGCAAACAGGAUUAGAUACCCUGGUAGUCCACGCCGUAAACGAUGAUUACUCGCUGCUGGCGAUAUACAGUCAGUGGCCAAGCGAAAGCAUUAAGUAAUCCACCUGGGGAGUACGCCGGCACGGUGAAACUCAAGGAAUUGACGGGGCCCGCACAGCGUGAGCAUGUGGUUUAUCGAUGAUACGCGAGACUACAGGUUUAAUGGAAUGACAGAUGCCGAAGGUGUCUCUCGGAAA